UACAGAGGGUGCAAGCGUUAAUCGGAAUUACUGGGCGUAAAGCGUGCGUAGACGGCUAUCUAAGUCGGGUGUGAAAGCCCCGGGCUCAACCUGGGAAUUGCAUUCGAGACUGAAUAGCUAGGGUACGGUAGAGGGAAGCGGAAUUUCCGGUGUAGCGGUGAAAUGCGUAGAUAUCGGAAGGAACGUCAGUGGCGAAAGCGGCUUCCUGGACCAGUACCGACGUUCAGGCACGAAAGCGUGGGGAGCAAACAGG
rnacentral:rRNA from 1 species